rnacentral:snoRNA from 1 species
AAACCAUGGUGUGGACACUGAUUGGUGUAACUUCUAAACCUCUCCCAAGCUUCCCCAAAGCUUUCAUUGUUAUGUUGCUUGAAGCUUGAAAUUUGGUCUCUCUGCUU